rnacentral:rRNA from 1 species
AUUGACCGCUGGCGGCAGGCCUAACACAUGCAAGUCGAGCGAGCGGCGGACGGGUGAGUAAUGUAUGGGGACUGCCCGAUAGAGGGGGAUAACUACUGGAAACGGUAGCUAAUACCGCAUACUAUCGUAUACACCAUAAGGGAUUAGCUAGUAGGUGAGGUAAUGGCUCACCUAGGCUACGAUCCCUAGCUGGUCUGAGAGGAUGAUCAUCCACACUGGGACGGAGACACGGCCCAGACUCCUACGGAGGCAGCAGUAGGGAAUAUUGCACAAUGGGCGCAAGCCUGAUGCAGCCAUGCGGCGUGUGUGAAGAAGGCCCUAGGGUUGUAAAGGACUUUCAGUCGGUAGGCGUUACCGACAGAAGAAGCACCGGCUAACUCCGUGCCAGCAGCCGCGGUAAUAC